rnacentral:lncRNA from 1 species
CUUUACUCGAGCACCCAGCCCUUUUUUAUUUUUUUGAGACAGGGGCUCACUAAAUUGCUAAGGCUGGAACUUGUGAUCCUCCUGCCUCAACCUCCCAGGUUGCUGGGAUUACAGGUGUGCUUCCCCACACCCCCUGGCAGAUGGGGGUGUCUCUUACCUUCCUGUUCAUGUAGCCUUCACCUCUGAGCCUCUGUACACUCUUCCGGUUAGAAAACCCAUCCUCCAAAUUCCUCACAUUAGGACGCCUCCCCUGUGUGUGUGUGUGGAAGGAGAGUUCCUUCCUGAGAGGCUUGUGCUGGGGGAAUCUGUCAUGAUUGGAUGUUGGUUCUUGCCACUCCAAAGGUAUCCCAAGAUCAUCAUGAAAUACAAAAGAACGUGGAGGAAGGCCCUGAAUAGCCUAAGCUGACUCUGAAAGGACAAAGAGGAGUUAAGGAAGGUGAAGGCAUACAGCCAGAGGAACUCGUGCAAGUAAAGGCCUAGAGGCAGGGGAGCGUGAUCUGGCUGUAGUAAAGGGUAUUCAGUGUGAAGUUCUGGAACUUCAGUGCCUGUCAGCAUCUCCUGUGGGCCUUUAAAGUGCAGGCUGCUGGCCCACACCCACCACUGAGUUUGUGGUCAGCAGGUCUGGUGUAGAGCCCCAGAGUUCAUAUGUCUAACAAGUUGCCAGGGGGCGCUGGUCCAGAGGGCACACUUUGGGAAAUAUGGCAGGGAGGCUGGGAGGCAGGCAGAGAAGAGGCCACAGGGGCCUCAUGUGCCAAGCUGAGUUUAAAUUUCACCUGGAAAAAAAAAAUGUUAAUGUAAUAUACUAUAUCAAUCAGAUAAAAAACAAAAACCAGACAGGCACGGUGGUGCAAGUGUGGUUUCAAAUGAACCAUGGACCACAGCAUGUUAAUAUUCUAUGUAUCCUCUAGUCCAAGGACUCUUUUUUUUUUUUUUUAACCCAGAUGUGGUAGCACACACCAGUAAUCCCAGAGGCUUAGGAGGCUAGGGCAGGAGGAUCACGUUUAAGGUCAGCCUCAGCUUUUAGCAAAGCCCUAAGCAAUUUAGCCAGACCCUGUCUCAAAAAGGGCUGGGGAUGUCAAUGGGUUCAAUACCCAAUACUAAAAAAAAAAAAAAAAAAACCAUGAUCAUUUCAAUAGAUGCAAAAACCCCACAGGUACCAUCAUACUUAUUUUUCUUUUCUUUCUGGAACCAGGGGCACUUACCCUCUGUUUCAGUCAGCUUUUUCACUGCUAUGACUCAAAGACCCAACCAGAACAACUGUAGAGAAGGAAAAGUUUAUUUGGGGGCUCAUGAUUUCAGAGGUCUCCAUCCAUGGACAGCCAGCUCGAUUCCUUGGGGCUCAAGAUGAGUCAGAAUGUCAUGGUGGAAGAGUGUGGCAGAGGGAAGCAGCUCACAUGGUGAUCAGAAAGCAGAGAGAGGUCUCCACUU